AUGAGGGGUCGCCGUAAGAUUUCGGAAAGGGAGUCUCUCUUCCCUCAGGCGCAGACUGACCAGGCCAUUUUCUGUCAGCGGGCGGAGGGACACCAAGCACACAGCGGCCCCGGACCCCCGCGUCUCCAGAGCCUCCACUUCGGCCUCGCGGCCACUCGGACCGCAGAGCAUGGGGCAGGACACCGCCUCGCCCGCGCGCUCUCGGCCAAGGCGCGCCGCGCAGAGCAGCUCGGAGCGCACCAGGCCGAGCUCCGUGCGAGCUGUGCUGCAGAGGGACGCAGAGCCCUGCCGGUGAACGCAGCGCGAGGACGGGCUGCCUGCUCCACGCCGAGACAGAGCCAGUGGAAGCGCACGGCCAGUGAAGCUGCCGCGAAGCCAGGCACUGACAGCGAAACUAACAAGAGGCUCCACCCGCGGCCCCGGGAGGGGCAGUGGCAGAUGCUGGCAGAUGCUAGGGCCUGCAGGACGCGCCCCCAACCGCCCCAGCCUGACCCCUCCUCGGCUCCACGUCCUGACUGCCGGACAGAGCAGGACGCGGUCAGAGAGGGCUGGAGCGUGGCUGGGCCAGCUCUGGGCUCCCAGCCUUCCCGCCCAGGCCCCCCGGCUGUGCAGCCGAGACUCGCUAGUCCGGCCCUCGCGCACGGCCCUUCCUACAGCGGGGCUGCAAGGCUUCCAGCCGCGGCCACGCCCCGCCCUCCCGACAGAGGGGGCUGCGCUCUGCGGCUCCCUUGGCUGUCUCUCCACGGCCUCCUUUUUCCGGAACGUUUCCCGCUAGGCCAAGGCCAGGCUGUCUUCCUUCUCUCCCGUGCCCCAUCCUCCCCAGGCCUUCUCUGACUCCCAGGCGGUGGCCUCUCCCAACUCCCGCCCACACCCCUGGAGUCUAGCCUUUCCCAGCCUCUCCCGUUCCUGUGGACAGUCCUCUGAUGACCGUGGACCCUGGGCUGUGAGAGCCACGGUAAAAAUGUUACACCAGCCAGCCGAGAGUGAGCCAGUGAGCUAGCACCGCCCACGGCCCCUCCCGGGAGGCGCCACCAGGGAGGCGGCUAACAGGGGGCCUCGGCUGACCCCAUCAGGCCUGCUGCCCGCCACAGCCCCAGCAGGGCCCGGGCGCCCUUCCCUCUUCACAGUGUCUUUGGAUGAGGAGGAGGAGCCCCAGCGCUACAGCCUGUUCCUGGGAGGCCUUGCCCACCCCAAGGCCAGGAGGGUGCCCUCCUGUGUCUGCUGCAGAAAGCAAGCUCCUUUCUGUGCUCAGUGUGAGGCUGGGGGCUCCACGGGGAAACCCCUUCUGGGACUGGCUCCGAGACAUUCAUGCCAACUGACCUUCUGGGGCCCCUGCCCGGCCCCCACUGCAGACGGGUGACCACCGGCCCCUGCCUGCCCCCCGCUGCUCCUCUCGGCACCUCUGCAGAUGGCUCACCUUCACUGCCAUCUGGUCUGGCUUCGCGCUUCCCCCCAUGGUGCACACCUGGGGGCCAGGAGGCACAGGGAGCUUGGGCAUCACCAGCCAGCGAGGGGGGGUGAGCCUGGCCAUGCCCUUGCAGGUGCAGGGGGGGGUGGGGGAGUGAACCCCGAGCGAGGGUCGCG
rnacentral:lncRNA from 1 species